rnacentral:rRNA from 1 species
UUCGACACACUAUCAUUAACUGAAUCCAUAGGUUAAUGAGGCGAACCGGGGGAACUGAAACAUCUAAGUACCCCGAGGAAAAGAAAUCAACCGAGAUUCCCCCAGUAGCGGCGAGCGAACGGGGAGCAGCCCAGAGCCUGAAUCAGUGUGUGUGUUAGUGGAAGCGUCUGGAAAGGCGCGCGAUACAGGGUGACAGCCCCGUACACAAAAAUGCACAUACUGUGAGCUCGAUGAGUAGGGCGGGACACGUGGUAUCCUGUCUGAAUAUGGGGGGACCAUCCUCCAAGGCUAAAUACUCCUGACUGACCGAUAGUGAACCAGUACCGUGAGGGAAAGGCGAAAAGAACCCCGGCGAGGGGAGUGAAAAAGAACCUGAAACCGUGUACGUACAAGCAGUGGGAGCCUCUUUAUGGGGUGACUGCGUACCUUUUGUAUAAUGGGUCAGCGACUUAUAUUCUGUAGCAAGGUUAACCGAAUAGGGGAGCCGAAGGGAAACCGAGUCUUAACUGGGCGUUAAGUUGCAGGGUAUAGACCCGAAACCCGGUGAUCUAGCCAUGGGCAGGUUGAAGGUUGGGUAACACUAACUGGAGGACCGAACCGACUAAUGUUGAAAAAUUAGCGGAUGACUUGUGGCUGGGGGUGAAAGGCCAAUCAAACCGGGAGAUAGCUGGUUCUCCCCGAAAGCUAUUUAGGUAGCGCCUCGUGAAUUCAUCUCCGGGGGUAGAGCACUGUUUCGGCAAGGGGGUCAUCCCGACUUACCAACCCGAUGCAAACUGCGAAUACCGGAGAAUGUUAUCACGGGAGACACACGGCGGGUGCUAACGUCCGUCGUGAAGAGGGAAACAACCCAGACCGCCAGCUAAGGUCCCAAAGUCAUGGUUAAGUGGGAAACGAUGUGGGAAGGCCCAGACAGCCAGGAUGUUGGCUUAGAAGCAGCCAUCAUUUAAAGAAAGCGUAAUAGCUCACUGGUCGAGUCGGCCUGCGCGGAAGAUGUAACGGGGCUAAACCAUGCACCGAAGCUGCGGCAGCGACACUAUGUGUUGUUGGGUAGGGGAGCGUUCUGUAAGCCUGCGAAGGUGUACUGUGAGGUAUGCUGGAGGUAUCAGAAGUGCGAAUGCUGACAUAAGUAACGAUAAAGCGGGUGAAAAGCCCGCUCGCCGGAAGACCAAGGGUUCCUGUCCAACGUUAAUCGGGGCAGGGUGAGUCGACCCCUAAGGCGAGGCCGAAAGGCGUAGUCGAUGGGAAACAGGUUAAUAUUCCUGUACUUGGUGUUACUGCGAAGGGGGGACGGAGAAGGCUAUGUUGGCCGGGCGACGGUUGUCCCGGUUUAAGCGUGUAGGCUGGUUUUCCAGGCAAAUCCGGAAAAUCAAGGCUGAGGCGUGAUGACGAGGCACUACGGUGCUGAAGCAACAAAUGCCCUGCUUCCAGGAAAAGCCUCUAAGCAUCAGGUAACAUCAAAUCGUACCCCAAACCGACACAGGUGGUCAGGUAGAGAAUACCAAGGCGCUUGAGAGAACUCGGGUGAAGGAACUAGGCAAAAUGGUGCCGUAACUUCGGGAGAAGGCACGCUGAUAUGUAGGUGAAGCGACUUGCUCGUGGAGCUGAAAUCAGUCGAAGAUACCAGCUGGCUGCAACUGUUUAUUAAAAACACAGCACUGUGCAAACACGAAAGUGGACGUAUACGGUGUGACGCCUGCCCGGUGCCGGAAGGUUAAUUGAUGGGGUUAGCGGUAACGCGAAGCUCUUGAUCGAAGCCCCGGUAAACGGCGGCCGUAACUAUAACGGUCCUAAGGUAGCGAAAUUCCUUGUCGGGUAAGUUCCGACCUGCACGAAUGGCGUAAUGAUGGCCAGGCUGUCUCCACCCGAGACUCAGUGAAAUUGAACUCGCUGUGAAGAUGCAGUGUACCCGCGGCAAGACGGAAAGACCCCGUGAACCUUUACUAUAGCUUGACACUGAACAUUGAGCCUUGAUGUGUAGGAUAGGUGGGAGGCUUUGAAGUGUGGACGCCAGUCUGCAUGGAGCCGACCUUGAAAUACCACCCUUUAAUGUUUGAUGUUCUAACGUUGGCCCCUGAUCGGGGUUGCGGACAGUGUCUGGUGGGUAGUUUGACUGGGGCGGUCUCCUCCUAAAGAGUAACGGAGGAGCACGAAGGUUGGCUAAUCCUGGUCGGACAUCAGGAGGUUAGUGCAAUGGCAUAAGCCAGCUUGACUGCGAGCGUGACGGCGCGAGCAGGUGCGAAAGCAGGUCAUAGUGAUCCGGUGGUUCUGAAUGGAAGGGCCAUCGCUCAACGGAUAAAAGGUACUCCGGGGAUAACAGGCUGAUACCGCCCAAGAGUUCAUAUCGACGGCGGUGUUUGGCACCUCGAUGUCGGCUCAUCACAUCCUGGGGCUGAAGUAGGUCCCAAGGGUAUGGCUGUUCGCCAUUUAAAGUGGUACGCGAGCUGGGUUUAGAACGUCGUGAGACAGUUCGGUCCCUAUCUGCCGUGGGCGCUGGAGAACUGAGGGGGGCUGCUCCUAGUACGAGAGGACCGGAGUGGACGCAUCACUGGUGUUCGGGUUGUCAUGCCAAUGGCACUGCCCGGUAGCUAAAUGCGGAAGAGAUAAGUGCUGAAAGCAUCUAAGCACGAAACUUGCCCCGAGAUGAG